rfam:Corchorus capsularis cultivar CVL-1 contig15175, whole genome shotgun sequence.
GUGGCUUCAAAUGAUCUUAGAACUGAUAAAUUCAUCGAUACUUAUGAGUUUUUGUGAUUGUGAAGCCUAAAUUUACUGUUCUCCUCGCUAUCCAGCUCCAUAAUUAUAUGGAUUCUUGGACGUCGGGGACCAACAUUC